rnacentral:rRNA from 1 species
CAGUCGCCGCGGUAAUACGGAGGGUGCAAGCGUUAAUCGGAAUUACUGGGCGUAAAGCGCACGCAAACGGUCUGACAAGUCAGAUGUGAAAUCCCCGGGCUUAACCUGGGAACUGCAUUUGAAACUGUCAGGCUGGAGUCUUGUAGAGGGGGGUGGAAUUCCAGGUGUAGCGGUGAAAUGCGUAGAGAUCUGGAGGAAUACCGGUGGCGAAGGCGGCCCCCUGGACAAAGACUGACGCUCAGGUGCGAAAGCGUGGGGAGCAAACAGGAUUAGAUACCCGAGUAGUCCCUGUCUCUUAUAC